rnacentral:rRNA from 1 species
UACGUAGGGUGCGAGCGUUGUCCGGAAUUAUUGGGCGUAAAGAGCUCGUAGGCGGUUUGUCACGUCUGCUGUGAAAUCCCGAGGCUCAACCUCGGGCCUGCAGUGGGUACGGGCAGACUGGAGUGCGGUAGGGGAGAAUGGAAUUCCUGGUGUAGCGGUGGAAUGCGCAGAUAUCUGGAGGAAUACCGGUGGCGAAGGCGGCAUCCUGGACCGACAUUGACGCUGAUGAGCGAAAGCUAGGGGAGCAAACGGG